CUCUCUCCCACCAUCUCCUCCUCACACUCUUUGCACCAGCUCCUCCCCAUCCUUCACUAACUCUGUUCUGUCUUCCACAGAUCCAGUCAGCAAGGAUGUUGCUGAGCAGACCAGGACCAUCGACAGGAUUCCCGAGGCAGAGGCCAUUGGACCAGAGGCGCCGAGUUUGAUCCCGGACACUGAACGAGCUGUCUACCUGGAGCCGUGCUCUGCUAGAUCUCGG